AAACAACAACAAUAAUAACAAGAAGAAGAAGAAGAAGAAGAAGAAUAUAUAAUAUUAACAACACAAAAACACAAAAACAAUUUCAAUCUCCUUCUCAAUCAUAACAACAUAUAACAUUAACAUUUUUGCAAAGUCACAACAACAACAACAAAAAAACAAAAACAACAAUCUCAAUCUCAACAAAACCACAACAACAUAAACAAUAAACAUAUUAC
rnacentral:lncRNA from 1 species